CUGGGAUUACAGGCAUGAGCUACCGUGCCCGGCCAAAAUUUUUAAAAAAUUAGCCAGGUGUGGUGGUGUGCAACUCUAGUCCCAACUACUUGGGAGGCUGAGACAGGAGGAUUGCUUGGGCCUGAGAGGUCAAGGCUUCAGUGAGCUGUGAUCCCGCUACUGCACUCCAGUCUGGAUGACACAGCAAGACCCUGUCUCAAAACAAACACUUAGGUCUAGUUACUUUUUUCGGUCUCCAUUUUUCUCGUGAGGGCUCCCAUCUACAAUGAAUAAGCUUUGUGUGCUAUUGUUUUGUUAAUCUGUCUGUCAGUCUGAGCCAGACACCAGAGAGAGGAGGAAAGCUCUAGCCCUGCUAGUUUCUGGUGAUGAGGAUGGGCUACAAUUGGCUGGGAAUAUCUGCUCCCUCUGGGGUCUGCAGGGGAGAAAUGCUGGGACCUGACAAGCCAAUGCAAAGUAAGAAUUCAGCCGGACGCGGUGGCUCAUGCCUGUAAUCCCAGCUUUUUGAGAGGCUGAGGUGGGUGGAUUACUUGAGGUCAGGAGAUCAAGACCAGUCUGGCCAACACGGUGAAACCCCAUCUCUACCAAAAAAUAGCAAAAUUAGCUGAGUGUGGUGGUGUGUGCCUGUAGUCCCAGUUACUCGGGAGUCUGAGGCAGGAGAAUCACUGAAACCUGGGAAGCUGGGGUUGUGGUGAACCGAGAUCACGCGUUUC
rnacentral:lncRNA from 10 species